rnacentral:rRNA from 1 species
AUUGAACGCUGGCGGCAUGCUUUACACAUGCAAGUCGAACGGUAACAGGCCGCAAGGUGCUGACGAGUGGCGAACGGGUGGGUAAUGCAUCGGAACGUGCCCAGUCGUGGGGGAUAACUACUCGUAAGAGUAGCUAAUACCUCAUACGAUCUAUGGAUGAAAGCGGGGGACCGUAAGGCCUCGCGCGAUUGGAGCGGCCGAUGUCAGAUUAGGUAGUUGGUGGGGUAAAGGCUCACCAAGCCAACGAUCUGCAGCUGGUCUGAGAGGACGACCAGCCACACUGGGACUGAGACACGGCCCAGACUCCUACGGGAGGCAGCAGUGGGGAAUUUUGGACAAUGGGCGCAAGCCUGAUCCAGCAAUGCCGCGUGCAGGAAGAAGGCCUUCGGGUUGUAAACUGCUUUUGUACGGAACGAAACGGCUCUGGUUAAUACCCGGGGCUAAUGACGGUACCGUAAGAAUAAGCACCGGCUAACUACGUG